rnacentral:lncRNA from 1 species
UUUCCUUUGCACUUUAGGUGGGUUUUUCUUUCUUCAUAGUGAUAUUUUUCUUUUCUUUCCUUCCACCGUUUUUCUCUUCCUCACCACCACCUCCUCUCUUCUUCCUCCUCUAGCCACCGCCUUUACAUCCACCUUUCCCUCCUCCUUUUCUAACUUUAUAGUUUCUCUCUAUUUGUCUAUGGCACCUUCCUUUGUGUCUCCACCCCUUUUCCAUCACAUUUAACCUUUCAAGUGAACUUAUCAAAACCAUUAGAGCUAGUAAUUAACUUUAUACAACACUGUUCUAUUCACUCAGAUUUGUUAUCUGUAUACAAGCUCUAUUACACAGCACCGACUCAAAUUCACUAUGAGGUGCUUUGAGUCAUCUCCAUUUGAAUUGUCACAAGGUAAGUACCGAUCCAAAAGAAAUAAGAGAAUAAGGAAAGAAAACAAUGUAAAGAAGUCCAAAAAAGUCCAGGACUCUAUUAUUUGUAGCAAGAUUGCUAAUGUUUAGCUAAAUAAAUAACUUUGAGCAUGUGUGUCUAUUGCCUAUUUGUCGUGCAAUAAUGCUAUAAUGCUUUUCCUUUAACAUUCUGUUUUUGUAGGUGUUGAUAGACAUUUUUAGUAAUUGAUUCUAUGAAGAAAUGAGAAAAGGUCAUACAUCUGCAAGAACCACGAUUCUUUUCUUUAUAAAAAAAACUCUACUACACAUCACAUCUAUGACGAAGAAAAAGAAAAGUCAUACACCUCAACACAUUGGUGGAAAAAAAAAAACCCUUGUGGUUGAGUUGAGAAAAGGUUGUAAAACAAAUUUUCCUUUUUGAAGACUAGUAUAUAUGUAACCUUGGUUGUUUCAAUUGCUUUGUUU